CGCGUAGGUGGUUGACCAAGUUGGAUGUGAAAUUCCCGGGCUUAACCUGGGAAGGUCAUCCAAGACGGGUAGACUAGAGUAUGGUAGAGGGAAGAGGAAUUUCCGGUGUAGCGGUGAAAUGCGUAGAUAUCGGAAGGAACACCAGUGGCGAAGGCGACCUCCUGGGCUGAUACUGACACUGAGGCGCGAAAGCGUGGGGAGCAAACAGGAUUAGAUACCCUGGUAGUCCACGCUGUAAACGAUGAGAACUAGCUGUUGGGCGAGUUAAAUUGCUAAGUAGCGAAGCAAACGCGAUAAGUUCUCCGCCUAGGGAGUACGGCCGCAAGGUUAAA
rnacentral:rRNA from 1 species